UACGAAGGGGGCUAGCGUUGUUCGGAUUUACUGGGCGUAAAGCGCACGUAGGCGGUUCGUUAUGUCAGAUGUGAAAGCCCUUGGCUCAACUGAGGAAGUGCAUCUGAAACUGGCGAGCUAGAGUAUGUAAGAGGGUCGCGGAAUUCCCGGUGUAGAGGUGAAAUUCGUAGAUAUCGGGAGGAACACCGGUGGCGAAGGCGGCGACCUGGGACAAUACUGACGCUGAGGUGCGAAAGCGUGGGGAGCAAACAGG
rnacentral:rRNA from 1 species